rnacentral:rRNA from 1 species
AUAACCGGCGAACGGGUGCGUAACACGUGAACAACCUGCCCUCGUGUGGGGGAUAGCCAUGCUAACGCGUGGGUAAUACCGCAUACGUUCCUCUGGGGGAGUCCCUGGGGGAGGAAAGCUCCGGCGCACGGGGAGGGGUUCGCGGCCUAUCAGCUAGUUGGCGGGGUAAUGGCCCACCAAGGCGACGACGGGUAGCUGGUCUGAGAGGAUGGCCAGCCACAUUGGGACUGAGAGACGGCCCAG